rnacentral:lncRNA from 1 species
UUCGUUUUAGAUUUUUUUUUUAUUCUUAAUUAUUUGUCAUUUGUGAUUAUCUAGGAGAAUUGAUUACUAUUUUUUUCAAAUUGCCCCUUAUUACUCCACCUAAUUUUUUGAUACUCCCUCCAUCCCAAAAUAAUAGACGUUCUAGACUGAGUUUUUUUCCCCCAAAAUAUUUGACGUUCUACAAAACCAAGACUAUUUUACCCAUUUUUUUCCUUCUUUACCCUUCCUUCUCCAUUACCAGAUCUGGAGAUGCUAAACCAAACAAAUAAUAACUCUGUGCUAUUCGCAAGUUUAACUCACGAAAGGGAAGCUUACCGGACAGACAAACUUAUACCAUUUUUUUGUUUAUCAAAAAAAUACCAUUUUUUUGUUUGGUUUAGCAUGUCCAGAUCUCCAUUACCGGACGGUUCGGUCGUCGUCGUGGGUGGCCGCUUGCAGGGGAUUACUCCACCGCGACGAUUGUUGUAUGCGGUAAGCUUCCCUUUCUGUAUACCGCCGGAGGACGACAAACGGAUUCAAAUGUGUACCAUUUCUUCGAUUCCGGCGGGAUCUGAGAAUUGGCUCAGGUUCAGGAUUUUCGGGUGAGACUGAAAAUUGAUGAUGAUGAUAGCUGUGACGGUGAGAUAGACGGUGGGAAUUCAUUUCCUUGACAAAGUCGGUACCGCAAUCAAGACAGAAAAUGGAGUCUCCGCCCCAAACCCUGACCAUGGAGUCGACGCCGCCAUAUCGGAAACAAAAAUUUUCAUCUCUCUAAUUUGAUUGCCGAUCGCCAUAUCGGAAACAAAAAUUUUGAGAUUACAGAAGGCGUCGGAGAAGGAGAAGACGAUCGGCUGAAGAGAAUACAGAGAGAAGGCAGAUGGCGUGAAUACAGAGAGAAUGCUGAAGAAGACACAAUAUUAAUUAGGGGUAAAAUAGUAAAAUUAUAACUAUUUUUAAUCUUUGUAAAAUUUUUUAGAACGUCUAUUAUUUUGGGACGGAAGGAGUAUAUAUUUAUGAGAUAAUUGAGGUGAAGGGUAU